CGAGGCGGCGGGGACGCGACGCCGAGGCACAAAGAGGGCGGCGGUGGCCGGGAGCCAGGCGAGACGAAGGCACGUCGGACCUCAGAGCCUCGGUCUCCUCCUUCCUGCGGCUCAGGGACACCCUGCCGCGGGGGCAGGAGGGGCCCAGCACGUGUGCUGUGGUGCGGCCGCCUCCGGCUUCUGACCAGCCGCCGCCUGCUUGUGGCAGGUCCGUGCUUCGUAGGGAAGCCUUUUACUUCCUGCUCACCUGAAUAGUGAAUUCCUAUUUUCUGACGGGCUCUUAAAAGGGAACAGUCGUGUCUGUCCUAACUCGUCUCAAGAAAGACCUGCUCUAUCCAUUUCUUCCAAAUAUCUUCUCUAUGUCCAGGGUCACGCCUGGCCAAUAAAUUCCUUUCUUGCACUGUUCGCUAAGCCAUCAUUCCCUUUCCUUUGUCAUCUCAUGGAAUUAAAAAUAACAAGACAAACCAUCUAUUCUAGGACUGCUCUGACACAAAUGCCACAAGUGGUCACUCCUGUUUGCUGACGCGACCAAACCUGGUAUGUGCUAUUAGAAAGUUAAUAAAUAAUGAAAUAGAACAUUAGGGCUAAUUUGCACCUGGUUUCAUGGUUCCAUCAAAACUGUGUAGCUUGGAGAUAGUGAAGAUGAGAAAGAAGACCAAGAGCACGCGAGACCAACGGGUACCUGUUCUCAGCAGGUAAGAAUCAGUCUUCCACCACAUUGGAUUAAAGUGUUUUUCAGCCAAAAUUGUCAUGCAGUGAAGCAUGAGCUGUUUUAGCACACAUCACAAGGAAUCAUUAUGAACAAGUGAAACUCACUUCAUUCCACUCACCACAAUUUAGGGGCUUUUAUGCUUUUUGAAAAGCUCCUAAAUUGACCAAGAGACAAAGGAGAACUUACUGAUGAUAGAGAUUCAUAAAAUGUGAGAAAUUAUUUUCCUUUAAUAUAUAAUAUUUGUUCUCAGAAUAAGCUUAUGAAGUGCUUAGUAUGUUUCAUCUCAAGAAAC